CGGGGUAUAGCGCAGUCUGGUAGCGCGCUUGCUUUGGGAGCAAGAUGUCGGNNGUUCAAAUCCUCUCUNCCCCGACCA
rnacentral:tRNA from 1 species